CUGAUCCGGAAGAAGAUAUUAACCACGUUGUUUUGUUUUUGUCAGCGCGAGCUAGUAUUUCGCUUUUAAUCCCCUAAAUAAUUAUUCUUCAGCCAUUGGGAAGUAAUUUGCUAAUUGUAAGUGCAAUAAAGAUUUUCCAUCCUGCAUCGAAGUCAAAUAUAUAAAAAGGCUGUUGGUGGGAGAUGAUCGUGUGAAGAAUGGUCUCAACUUCAUGUAUGAAGCUCCACCUGGGGCAGACAAGGGAAGGAGAAUCAGAAUACAAGUUUGAGUGGCAAAAGACGUCCCCUCGAGGGAAGUCCGUCGAUGCACCCCUCCGAGUUAAUGGCAGAGAUGCGAAACAGUGGGUUUGCCCUGAAGAAAUGUGUCCUUGGAAGAAAUUCUACUGUUUGUGAUCCAUCGCAGGAGUACGUUGUCAAUGAAGAAGAGGAGGAUCCUGAGGUUGAAUUCCUGAAGUCGUUGACCACUAAACAGCAAGAGAAGCUCCUCAAGAAACUUGAUCGUCUACAAAAGAAGAGUGAAGGAAAUCAGAAGAAGGACCGUGAUAGUAGUGACAGCUCCAGUGAAAGUAGUAGCAGUGACUGACUGACAGCUCCAGUGAAAGUAGUAGCAGUAUCUGACUGACGGCUCCAGUGAAAGUAGCAGCUGUGACUGACUGACAGCUCCAGUGAAAGUAGUAGCAGUGACUGACUGACAGCUCCAGUGAAAGUAGUAGCAGUGACUGACUGACAGCUCCAGUGAAAGUAGUAGCAGUGACUGACUGACAGCUCCAGUGAAAGUAGUAGCAGUAUCUGACUGACGGCUCCAGUGAAAGUAGUAGCAGCUGUGACUGACUGACAGCUCCAGUGAAAGUAGUAGCAGUGUCUGACUGACGGCUCCAGUGAAAGUAGCAGCUGUGACUGACUGACAGCUCCAGUGAAAGUAGUAGCAGCAGUGACUGACUGACAGCUCCAGUGAAAGUAGUAGCAGUGUCUGACUGACGGCUCCAGUGAAAGUAGCAGCUGUGACUGACUGACAGCUCCAGUGAAAGUAGUAGCAGUGACUGACUGACAGCUCCAGUGAAAGUAGUAGCAGUGACUGACUGACAGCUCCAGUGAAAGUAGUAGCAGUGACUGACUGACAGCUCCAGUGAAAGUAGUAGCAGUGUCUGACUGACGGCUCCAGUGAAAGUAGCAGCUGUGACUGACUGACAGCUCCAGUGAAAGUAGUAGCAGUGACUGACUGACAGCUCCAGUGAAAGUAGCAGCAGUGACUGACUGACGGCUCCAGUGAAAGUAGUAGCAGUGUCUGACUGACGGCUCCAGUGAAAGUAGCAGCUGUGACUGACUGACAGCUCCAGUGAGUGACUGACUGACAGCUCCAGUGAAAGUAGUAGCAGUGACUGACUGACAGCUCCAGUGAAAGUAGUAGCAGUGACUGACUGACAGCUCCAGUGAAAGUAGCAGCAGUGACUGACUGACAGCUCCAGUGAAAGUAGCAGCAGUGACUGACUGACAGCUCCAGUGAAAGUAGCAGCAGUGACUAAGAGUCUGAAGAGAAAGAAAGAAAGGCAAGAGAAAGGACUCCUGUCGUGAUGACAACACUGAGUGAUGGAUGAGUCUAGAGUAAGACCAAGCCCAACCUCCAGACAGAAACAGCACAAAGAUGAUACCAGAGAGGAGAAAGAAACAGUAGAGAUGAGACACGACAGCAGGGAGAGGCAGAGAACCAGCAGCAGCUCCCAGCCUGGCCCAGACAGAAGCAGAAGGAGAGAGAUAUAAAGACAAGGUUCACAGUAGAGAUGAGGCAAACAGUAGAAGAGAGAUGGAUAGAAGUAGGAGCAGAGAUGGAGCAAAGAAUAAAGCAGCCGCAAAGGGAGGAGUAGGAUCCUAGAUGGAGGGAGGGAGAGAGGGGGGAGGCAAAGGGAGGAGCCGGAGCAGAGGGAUGGAGAAUGAGAAAAGAGCCAGAGGGAGAGCUGAGAGAAAGCACUGAACUGUGAGAGUAGACAAUCUUACAAAGUGGGUUAGUGAUACCAUUUUAUUUUGCUGAUGUAAACAUUUUUGACACGUUUUGAUGAUUUUACGAUGCUAUUGUUAAUAUGUACAUUUUUCUUGGUGGGCCCAAUUAUUAAACAAACACAUAGAAACCAAAGUUUUAGUAACACCAUGUUUUGGUGUUGCAUGCUAGUUGGCUGCUACGGUCAAAUGAGUGCAGGGGCGUAUUCAUUAUGACGAUUCUGUUGCAAAAUGUUGAACAGAAGCAAACUGAAUGAAACCGGGAGGGGCCUACCUGAAUUUGACCAAUAGAAACUGUUCAAAAUGUUCCAUUUUGCUACUGUUAGGACGAGUGAUUGCACCCCUGCUCCUCAAAUAGUUCUUAUUUUCAUCCACUAGAGGGCAGCAGUAGACCUAAAAUAACUUGAACCACAGAAAUAAUUUGCAUUUGUCAGAUUAUUGAACAAAUGCAUGCCUUGCAUGCACUAUUAUAGAUGGUUGUCAGUUUAGUCCAGAAAACCCUCUUCAGAAUUCUAAUAAAAAAUAUUAUUGCAACUCGAAUUUUAAAAAUAGUGAACUGUGCUCACAUGGUUGUGACCGUUCUUCAUUACAUGUGUUACAAGUCUACCUUAAUAAUGUAGGCUUGUUUCAAAGUGGUCUUCUGGAAGUGGCCUAAACGGGAGCGUGGUUGACUAAUGACAAUCAAUCUAUGAUUGUUCAUUAUGCGAUGCAUAAGAUUAGGCCUGCGUAAGUGAUUAGUGUGGAGACAUCAAGUUUGUUUCAAAUAUUUAAUACUGAAUACUUAAUUCUGACUCGAGAUCAAUACAUGAAACUUUCCUCUUUCUGCAAAACCCAGUGUAUGAUUUACUCAACAUUGCGCGCCUAUCGGCCUUUAGAGAUUACUUGUUGCAUUACUUGCAUGACAUCAUCAUGAUGGACAAAACAGAAGGAACGAUGAGGUCGAGUGCCUAUUUGUUUUGGAGACAUAUAUUUUAUGGCAAAGAAAUAACUCCUGCGUCGAUAUGAUUUGUUAAGAAUUCCUGAUCAGGAAAAUGAAUUUCUUACAUGUUUUAUUUUAUUUCAGUCGCUUCAAAUGUGUAUGUUCUGUAUAGACAGACCAUGUAACCUUUUGCAAUGAUACUCCGAGGUGUGCACCUAAAUACUGUAGACCUAUGCCAAUUUGUUUGAUUAAUUGUUAUUUUAUCAUUAUCACAAUACAAGUAUUUUUUGUGACCUUC